rnacentral:tRNA from 1 species
GGGCCAGUAGUUCAGCUGGGAGAACGCUUGCUUUGCACGCAGGAUGUCGUGGGUUCAAGUCCCACCUGUGUCCA